rnacentral:rRNA from 1 species
CCUACGGGAGGCAGCAGUGGGGAAUUUUGGACAAUGGGGGAAACCCUGAUCCAGCCAUCCCGCGUGUGCGAUGAAGGCCUUCGGGUUGUAAAGCACUUUUGGCAGGAAAGAAACGUCGUGGGUUAAUACCCCGCGAAACUGACGGUACCUGCAGAAUAAGCACCGGCUAACUACGUGCC